GAUCAUUGUGUCCCAUGUUACAACAAAUACAGGGAGAGGUCUGUACUCCUCAACAUCCCCUGUUUUUCUUCUUUAGAGACAGAACCAUAGAGGGGAAGUAAGACACAAUGCUUUUCCCGUGACACCAAAGACCUCGAGUAUUGUGGUCAUCUUGUCUGAUAUUUAGGAUGCUUUCAUGUCUUUCCUCUUCUUCCUCAUCAGCACUUGUUUGUUACCAGGGGGCAAGCAAAGGAAAGGAGGAAAGCAAAGAGGACAGAAGUAAAUAUAGAGGACCUCCGGACGUUGUCAAGCCGCUGCCGUAACCUGUUAGGAUUUCAGCGCUGGUCUGUUUACAGUUUCUCCAUGCCUACCUGCCUGCCUCCUUGCCCAGUGCUCAGGAUAAUCAUCUCCCCUCACCCGGACCACCUCCCCUCUAAGCUUUGCCUCCGCCUGCGCAUGAGAGUUCGUGCACUGACAGAUUUCCCAGUGUCGGGUUCUCCAUUCCAUCCACGACAGCCCCACGGACACUUCUAGUGCUCCUUAUAGUUUUGUUUCAUAGAAAUGCCAAGUCAAAGUAAAGGGUUAUGAAUUUCUGAGUUAAAACUGUGUCUCCAAGCGGAAUAUUAUGAAUCAUAGUGGGCCUCUAAGCUAAUGUUAUAUUUAAAUUCAUGUUCCAGAGUAGAGUUUCUAGCGUGUUUUAAGUUUAUUUAGGUUGCCGCUAGCCCUGGGUUCCUCAUGAGUGUUUUUGAGUUAUUCCUCGUUUAUGUUGAGCAAUUCUAAGUUAUGGUAAGCACUUUGAGCACCUCUCACCGUCGUUCGCUGUUUACAUUAAUUGCACCACUGUAAAUAAAGCUUUGUCAC
ensembl:lncRNA